AUUGAACGCUGGCGGCAUGCUUUACACAUGCAAGUCGAACGGCAGCAUGACCAAGCUUGCUUGGUCGAUGGCGAGUGGCGAACGGGUGAGUAACACAUCGGAACGUGCCCUGUAGUGGGGGAUAACCUACCGAAAGGUAGGCUAAUACCGCAUACGACCUGAGGGUAAAAGUGGGGGACCGCAAGGCCUCACGCUAUAGGAGCGGCCGAUGGUAGAUUAGCUAGUUGGUGAGGCAAAGGCUCACCAAGGCGACGAUCUUUAGCGGGUCUGAGAGGACGAUCCGCCACACUGGGACUGAGACACGGCCCAGACUCCUACGGGAGGCAGCAGUGGGGAAUUUUGGACAAUGGGGGCAACCCUGAUCCAGCAAUGCCGCGUGAGUGAAGAAGGCCUUCGGGUUGUAAAGCUCUUUUGUUUGGGAAGAAAAAUCUGGUGUUAAUACCACUGGAUGCUGACGGUACCAAAAGAAUAAGCACCGGCUAACUACGUGCCAGCCGCCGCAGUAA
rnacentral:rRNA from 1 species